GCAAACCGUUCUAGAACUCAAAUC
rnacentral:snRNA from 1 species